CAGAAUCAUAGCACCAUGGAAACAAAGAAACUGCUUUGUGACAGAGGAAAACCUUUCAUUUCAGUAGCACUGAAUGGUGGCUUGCUGCUGAUAACAGCAUGGAUGAACCGAAGUCAGCGCACACCGGUCUCCAUUUUAGCUUGCUCCUCCAUCAGGUUUGGGCCACAUGAUGGCCGACGCUCUUCCUCGAGGUGCAACGCGUCGGUGCGGAUGAUCGCCAACGCAAAAGAAAGAAACAGACACAAGACUCAGACGGGCAAACACUCUCGUUGCAAGAUGUAAAUUGAUCCAGGAGCGACGGAGCCACGGUAACGGAGCCACAGAGAGCAGCACUGUACAUUUACCUGCAAUUAGAUUUGCCUGAGUAUCCUGCUGGGAGUGAUGGAGGCCCCUCCGACCUGGAGAUGGCAACAGCUCCUGUUCCUUCAUACGUUGUUCACGAGCGCAUACGCCCUAGUGUGAAGUACGCAUGUUUUUACGGGAUUUGAGUGAAAUCCAGUAAAUAUGGGAUUACAUUUGUUUGUUUUUUUUGCUCUUGUUUCUGUAAAAAAGAAGAGAGAAAGUAAUUACCUAUGCGAGCGGUUGUGUUUAUAACAGGAUGUUUAUUCGUACGCUUCUCCUUCUUGAACUUUUCUCACUGUUUUGGAGGAUUUUGUGGGAUGGACCAACACAAAUUUAUAAUAGUGGAUUUAUACAGGAUUUAAGUGCAAUAGGUCUAUGUGUUCUGGGUGUUUUAUUCUUAAAAUAAAAAAUCCUAAUGACCUAAGCAGUAAUGUUUACAACACAGAAUGUUUUUUUUUUCUUUUCUACUUGAACGUUUUUCACUUGUUUUUUUGUUUUUUUUAUGGGCUGGACCAACACAAAAUUGUACAUAAUUGCAGAGUGGAAUGAACUGCGUGAUUUUUAACGUUUCUCACCAAAAAAAU